AACGAACGCUGGCGGCAGGCCUAACACAUGCAAGUCGAACGAAGUCUUCGGACUUAGUGGCGGACGGGUGAGUAACACGUGGGAACGUGCCUUUAGGUUCGGAAUAACUCAGGGAAACUUGUGCUAAUACCGAAUGUGCCCUUCGGGGGAAAGAUUUAUCGCCUUUAGAGCGGCCCGCGUCUGAUUAGCUAGUUGGUGAGGUAAAGGCUCACCAAGGCGACGAUCAGUAGCUGGUCUGAGAGGAUGAUCAGCCACAUUGGGACUGAGACACGGCCCAAACUCCUACGGGAGGCAGCAGUGGGGAAUCUUGCGCAAUGGGCGAAAGCCUGACGCAGCCAUGCCGCGUGAGUGAUGAAGGUCUUAGGAUUGUAAAAUUCUUUCACCGGGGACGAUAAUGACGGUACCCGGAGAAGAAGCCCCGGCUAACUACGUGCCAGCAGCCGCGGUAAAAC
rnacentral:rRNA from 1 species